rnacentral:lncRNA from 1 species
GUUCUGGAGGAGAAAAACACUUCUGGGCCAGGGUGGACAGGACCAGGCCUUUCUUAUAGAGGGAACCACUGGGAGAGGUAAAAGGGCGGUGAUGGAGGCCAUGCCUGUGGCUUGCAUGGGGCUGGAAGAGAGUCAGACCAGCAGUGAAGGGGCACUACGUUGGCAUGAGGAAAACACUAUCCCAGGGAGCUCCAGAGCGGAUCCCACACUUAAAAACAGAUUGACAUUUAUCCAGGAGGGUGGCUGAAAUCUAACAUCUGGUGUAACUGUACAAACCUGACCUGAGGUCACGCAGCUACCCUUCCCGCAAAGGGCGACCACAUGUGAAGAGCGAGAUUCCCAGUAAGUAUCUGGUAAACAUUUGGAAACAAGAGACAAACAGCGCCGUGCAGUUGCACCAUCGUGCUUCAAAUACCCACUUGAAAAGAAAAAAAAAAGCAAGAAUCCAUUCCACAACGUGCCAAACCUGGCUCCCAAAACCGGGAGGAAUCGCAACACUGGUAAACUUGCAGAAAUAUUGUUACAAUUUUAUUAGAGGUUUUAAUUCAGUGCUUUAUCUACCUCUGUUAGUCUGCAAAAUAGCUUUAAAUAUUCAAGUGGUAAUUAAUGAAUCUUUUAUGUUGCAAAUCAAACAUUUUCAUCUGUGCUGUGGUACAGUGGCAGCGAGAAGGAGGGAUUUGGAAUGUAAUUGUUUCUCCUGUUCCCCUUGCAGUGCUGAAUGCCUUUUUCCCCUUUAUUGUACCAUUGGCUUUUGCUCCAGUUCAUCAGCGCUUUGCCACAUCUUAUCGGUCGAUAUUUGCUGUCUGGUUUGGGUGUGUGUUUUUUUUUUUUUUCCCCCUCAGUUCAAGAUUUCUUACUGUGCCUUUGCCAGAGACAUUCCUAAGGAGAUGGAAACUCUCUGA